AGAGUUUGAUUCUGGCUCAGGAUGAACGCUAGCGGCAGGCUUAACACAUGCAAGUCGAGGGGCAGCGCGGGUAGCAAUACCUGGCGGCGACCGGCGAAAGGGUGAGUAACGCGUGAGCAACGUGCCCGUAUGUGGGGGAUAGUCGAUGGAAACGUCGCGUAAUACCCCGUAACACGGAGGACCGCAUGAUCUUCCGUUGAAAGAUUUAUGCAUACGGAUCGGCUCGCGUGCCACUAGGUAGACGGCGGGGUAACGGCCCACCGUGCCGACGAUGGCUAGGGGUUCUGAGAGGAAGGUCCCCCACAUUGGAACUGAGACACGGUCCAGACUCCUACGGGAGGCAGCAGUGAGGAAUAUUGGACAAUGGCCGGAAGGCUGAUCCAGCCAUGCCGCGUGCGGGAGGACGGCCCUAUGGGUUGUAAACCGCUUUUGCGAGGGAGCAAUAAGGGUAACGUGUUGCCCGAUGAGAGUACCUCGCGAAUAAGCAUCGGCUAACUCCGUGCCAGCCGCGGC
rnacentral:rRNA from 1 species